UGUCCGGUUGACGCAUAUAACUAUAGUAGCAGUGGUCACUUGUAUAUCUUCAGUUCUUUCGUUACAUUGUUUUGUUACUAUAGUCUUGUUACAUGUAUACAUUUAGUUGUUCAUUACAGUAGCGGUAGUUGUACUUUCUUUCAUAUAUAUGUCUCUUUCAUUCAUUAUUAUUGCUACUGUAUUUUCUACUGACCCGUACUAUUGUUUAGCUCUUCCUGAUCCGAUGAGUACUCCUCGCCUUCAUCGGCUUGCUGUACCCACUGGGAUGGGAGAUAUGUUUACAUGUUCUCACCUCCCCCACCAUUUUUCAGGUAUUGCAGGCGAUGAGUUUUGGGACGAGACGUGAGGUACGUUCGUAGCGGUCGAUAGAGCUUCCGACCCAGGUUAUCGAUUUAGUUUUUAUCCUUACUAUUCUGUUGUUAUAGCCUAGUUAGUUUAUAUGGUUCAGUUAGAUGAUCAUACUUGAUGUUUGAACGUUGUGAGCUGGUUGAAUUUGUGGAUUUGUGGAUUUGUGGAUUUGAUUUAUGGAUCUUCAGUUUUGGGAUGUUUGUAUACUUUGUGGUUCUCGGAUUUGUAUUUAUGGAUUUACGCAUCGUGGUUUUCUACCCCUCGAGGUAGUCGGUUUUCAAAAUAGAGUUUCCGUGUGGGAAACAGUUUUCAAAAGGUUUUCAAAUGGUUUUUCAUGAUGAAUGAAUUAGAGUUCAAAAAUAAAAGCUUCUGUGUGGGGAGCACUUUUAAAUAGAAUGGUUGUUGUAUUGUGCAUUGCAUCAUUCACCGCCUAAGGAGUGCUUAGAGGCAUGCAUCAUUCUAAGGAUUGUUAGCUGUAUGGAAAUACAUAUCAUGCUUUGGUUGUUGAUUGGUAAAUGUAGGUUGUGAUUGAGAUCCUGUUGUAUCCGUUGGUACGCCGUGCAAAUACAAAGGAGACUCUGCCCGAGUGGACAGAGGAACUUUGUAUUUGUGGCG
rnacentral:lncRNA from 1 species